GGAAAAACGGGGAACAUAGGACCCGGGGAAUAUAGGGAUGACCCCCUAUGGUGCCAGACGGCCCUAAUGGUCUGAUUUACAUAGGCCAAACAAUGGCCAUUAAUAAACAAUGCAGGGGAAUUCAAUUUACACAUGUAAGGUAGGAGAUGUUAUUCAGAUGAGCAUCGAAAUGGGUUAUCUUAAAGUACCACAGGGGCAUUACCUGCUCGGCCAAUUAGCAUUUUUGGGGGAUUUCCCACAACAGUUCUGUGAAGGACCACCGCUGGAGACAUAGGCUACCCACAACAGAUAAUUAUGGCUCGGAGAACGUUCUUCUUGGGUUGCAGGAAUAUUCUCAUUUGUCUGCACUCGACGUCUCCUGAUGGACGGGCCUCGUGUAGGCGUACAUCAAUCAGCAUUUCACAGGUUGGAGAUAAUGCAGAGGAGCCUACAGUGGGCAAGGGGAAAUUUGAUAAAUGUCCAAGAUUCUGACCUAAUUCUCAGCGACCUAACAGAAUUGUUAGAAGAAGUCAGAAUGGCUGGUAAUCAAGGAGAGCAAGUUGGUUCUGGUUACCACGCCCAGUUGUUUCGGGGAGGAAGGAGAGGACCACCUAGUUUUUCCAUCACUCGGCAACAGCUGUUUUUUCUGAGGUCUUGUGGCUUCAACGUACCUCAGAUGGCUGGUGUUCUUAAUGUGUCUGAACCAGUGGCGGCUGGUCGUUUUUAAAGUGAGGGAGGAAGGACCGUGCGCUUGGUUGCCAUUGGCCUGCUUACACUGUUGGUGUAUGCUGGCAUAAGAAUGUGAGACUCAAGUUGUUUCAGGGUGUUUUGGUGAACUACAAAAUAGUAGGGAGGGAUAGUUAUGUGAAUACAUUUGAUACAAAGCCACCAGUCGCAUCACUGUAAUUUGAGAGCUGGUGGGCAGCAUGUCUUUGAAAUGGACUACAAGGGCAGAAGGAAAGGAUGCAAAGCCCAUUAGUCAAAUCAGGCCUACUCUUGAUUUGUAAAAGUAAAUCUGGGCCUAUUUUUGCCCUCAAUGAAUGAAGUUAUUGGUUGUAAUUUAGCUAUGUUUAUUUUCAGGUACAAUUGUUUUAAGAAAAGACUGACCAAAAGUGAUGCCAUUUAAAAUGCAUCAUGCUCUGAAUCAUUCACCCUUUCCACAAUAUCAAACAGAACGGUCAGAGUAGCAAACUAGCAAAAGAACGAGAACAUUAUUCUAGAUUCAACCUGAUCUAUAGGCAUGGUGCCUAGCAAGGAAAGUCGCAUAGCAGCACCAACGUGAACUUGACACUAGUCGUGGCGUUUGGUUGCCCUAUCAAGAUUUUUCACAUCAGGGAAACCAUGAACAGCC
ensembl:lncRNA